UCUUCCUCAUUACAACCGCCCACGUUAUAUACGCUCAAACCAUCGGAUUCGCCGAUUAUUUUAUAAACUCUUAGAGCGCGUUCCAGCGUUCCUCCUUGGAAGCCUAGUAUAAAGAAGUCGAAAAAGUCCUAAUGUAUAAAAAGUCUUCCCGCUGGUAAAUUAUAUCAAGGCUCGUAGAAGGAAUCACGGGUUGAAAUGAAAGAAAUGUAAGGAAGGAAAAACCUAACUACGCGGACUUACGUUCACAUUUUCAGUCAUUACGAAUGAUCCUUUACGUCCGCACAACGUACUGAAGGUGGCAGAUAAUAUGGCUGAUAAAUAUUUCCAAGCAAUAUCAUUGACGAACACUUAAAACCGAUCGCCAGCAUCGAUUAUGAAGAGAAACCGUUGGAACAGCUAGAAAUACGUAAAGUUACCGAUUUCAGAAAAAAAAAUGUCAAGAACAAAAAAAUAUUAAAAAUAAAAGUUGAUCCACCAGUAGCAGGGUAUUCCCAGUACUAACCAAUUUCUGAGUCAUCGCCUUCGAUCGCGGAUACUGCCGUGACUAAGGAUCAACAAUAUUACAUUGGUAAUAUUAUUAGAUUCGAUGCAAAGAAUAACUCAGUAUUUCUGGUAAAAUACGUACUUUCUUAUUAGCAAAAGUCUACAACCACAAAAUCCGGUCGGUAAUCAAGAGGAGAACCUGUUUUUGAACUCGUUUGAAUAUAUUCCAAUAAAUAUAAUAAGUUGUUUAUACAAAGAGAACGACUUCCUACUUUAAAAAUAUCUAAAAAAUAAUAUUGCAAAAAUAUUCCUCUCUUCUGUAAGAAAUGCGAGAAGAAACAAUUACGGACAGUUCAACUGGAAUUGGAAAUAGUACUUAUCAAACUUGAAAUGACGUGUGGUAUGCAAAGAAGACUCAAAUUGUUUAAACAUCAUUCAUUCAUUUGUUAACGAUGUUCCAUAAAUACAACGAUGAAAUAUCUUUGGUAUGUAAUUACAUACAUACAUACAUGUUAAUAAUAUGAUUAUACUAAUGAAAUGAAGUGUAAGAAUGCAAAGUUCAAGUGUUAUAAGAUGCCAUGCUAGUUCGUUUAAACGAAGGUGAUAAACUUAGUCAGUAUUCACGGAUUAAUGUAUCCGGUUAAUUCAAAUCUAGCAAGAAUGCAAAACUUCCUUCGUCCUUGUAGGAAGCUGCAACGAUUAGAUUAGAUAAGAUUAACGAUAAUCGGCCAACUUGAUGAUCAUUCGGGAUCGUGACUUGUCUGAUCCAGUUUUUUCCAACGAUUGAAUAACAAACUAAUAUAUAAUGCGUAAUUAACAAUGACGAUUGAAUUUUUACAGAAAACAGAAUAUAUAAAACGUGUAUGUAUGAUCCUAAA